UCGCAAAAUAUGAUGAUAAAUAAUCCCUUGAAAUACACGUGAUAUUAAUAAAAUAUUGAGCUUUUUAACACUGACGCAUA